CUUGAUUUCUUUCACCCUCUCACAGCCUCCAAAACAAACCUGACAGAGCUGCAAUGCCCUUUUCCCACUGUUUGCCCAGACCACCUCUUUAUGCUGAUGUAUUCCCUGGAAAAGGCAGUGCUCAUCAGGCAUGCAGUGAAAGGGCUGUCACUUGAGGCAGAGCUCUGUGAUCAGUUCUAAGGCUGCUUUAGUGGCAACUGAGCUCCGUGGCCUAGAAGUUGCUCUCUCCUCUGGAGGAAGGUGAGGAAGGGACUGCAGUGGUGAGGAGGAGGAAGAUUCAGACAAAAUGUCUCCUCUCUCUCCUGGUGCAUCAUGUUCUUGCAUACGACGGAAACUGAAUGCAACAAAGAAAUGUGAGAUAUUGGGCAGUAUGAAUUCACCCAAAACAUCUCUGGGCAAAGUUCUCAUGAGCCUCUCACCUGUUUGGUGUGAGUCACUGCCAAAGAUGGGCAGUCACAGCUGCUGUAUCAGGGAGUCUGUCUCGGGACAAAUUGCUGCAGAGAAUGUGAUGUAGAACUUGCACUCACCUCCCAUUGCUGCCAUUUAAUUUUUUUUUUCAGUUUAAAAGAGACUAUUUUGAAGAAUUAAUGAGGCUCUCCAAAUGGCACAUGCAACAUGCCAAUAAACACUGAAGAGCUUUUCAUUCAUAAGAGGCAAUAGACUUCAGCUCCUGUUGACUUAUUUUGCACUCAGGAAUCAUUCCUUGCUGAACAGCAUUAUCUGGAAGAAAUGUUAGACAGGGCUUAUAUGUUACGUUGUGAAAAGAAGUUUCACAAAA